GGAAUCUUGCACAAUGGAGGAAACUCUGAUGCAGCGAUGCCGCGUGAGUGAAGAAGGCCUUUGGGUUGUAAAGCUCUUUUGUAGGGGAAGAUAAUGACUGUACCCUAAGAAUAAGGUCCGGCUAACUUCGUGCCAGCAGCCGCGGUAAUACGAAGGGACCUAGCGUUGUUCGGAAUAACUGGGCGUAAAGAGUACGUAGGCGGUUAUUCAAGUCAGAGGUGAAAGCCUGGAGCUCAACUCCAGAACUGCCUUUGAAACUAGAUAGCUAGAAUCUUGGAGAGGUGAGUGGAAUUCCGAGUGUAGAGGUGAAAUUCGUAGAUAUUCGGAAGAACACCAGUGGCGAAGGCGACUCACUGGACAAGUAUUGACGCUGAGGUACGAAAGCGUGGGGAGCAAACAGGAUUAGAUACCCUGGUAGUCCACGCCGUAAACGAUGAUAACUAGCUGUUCGGGCUCUACGAGCUUGAGUGGCGCAGCUAACGCAUUAAGUGCCCCGCCUGGGGAGUACGAUCGCAAGAUUAAAACUCAAAUGAAUUGACGG
rnacentral:rRNA from 1 species